rnacentral:lncRNA from 1 species
AUGUUAGGAAGAUCAGAGAACAGAGGAAGGUUUCUCCAGGUUUCUAAAUCUGUCUAUCAAUCCAUCCACCUUUGCCUGGGGUACUCACCAUCUGUACUGUGUAGUGGUCUGUGUCUGUCUGUGGUCUGUGUCUGUCUGUUAGCUCCCUUCCACUCUUCCUCCUCUUCCUGUUUUCUGUCUAGUAUCUGGUCCCAGAUCUCAGUGUUAACCCACAGCGACCCCGGCAGGGUGAGGCUGGGCUCGGUGCAGGUGAUCCAACGGCACAGGGGGCAGCAGACUGUCAGUAGGCCGUUUUGGAGCCUGGACAUCGCCUGCAAGCACAGCCCACAGAAUGUGUGCUUACAGUGGAGCAUCCGAGGUAUCUUCUCCCUGCGAGAGUAGGGCUGGAGGCAGACACAGCACUCCAUGUCCUCGCUCAUCAGACCCAUGGCUGGCUGGGGUGUGGAUGGAUGGAUGGAUGGAUGGAUGGACGGCUGGAUGGAUGGACGGAUGGAUGGACAGCUGGAGUCCAGAGGAAUUCUGGACGGAGUGUCAGUGUCUGGGCAGGAAGACGUGGGGUUUAAACGCUGGUCUGAGGUCAGUGUUCCCCUUGUGGUUUAUUAAGGUCCUGGUUUGGAUUUGAUGAGGAUGAGCUGAUCCUAGAUCUGUGCCUAGGAGCGUAGGUCAGGAACCUGCAAAAGACAUUAAGAUGUUAAAUUACAUUAGACUCAGUGACUUCAUCACUGGCGCUAUGUAAACAUAUCUAACAUGAUAACGUAUCUUAAAUCAACAGGCUGUCAGGUUUUUCUGAUAAGCCAUGAAGAAAAAAAUAUCUUGAAAAUAUCACACACAUUUAUAACAUCCAUAGUUAUCAGAUAUAGACAAACCUUUUAACUUUUAUCAUUAUCAAUGAGAGACAAUAUUUUACUUACAGGUUCUGGAAGAUUUUCAGCACAGCGACCAACUAUCCUACGACAAAACUUUGUGUGUGAGAGAGAAGAGUGUGUGUGCUCCUAUUUUAAGCUUUAGGGGAGGAGACUAAAUUCAGUUAUUUUCCCAGAAAGGGCGGCCUCUCACCUCCUCUACUCUCAGGUGAGGCAGGAAAGUUCCAUGGAAUGAGUUCAACACUACUAGGUCACUUCUAUAGCAUAGUAGGACACUUCAGGAGAAUUGCCAGGGCCAUGUAAUAACAUUUUCAGGGCAGGUGUUUACGUCUACA